CGCUCUUAGUUCAGCUCGGUAGAACGCAGGUCUCCAAAACCUGAUGUCGUAGGUUCAAAUCCUACAGGGCGUG
rnacentral:tRNA from 1 species